rnacentral:rRNA from 1 species
GACAGAGGGUGCAAACGUUGUUCGGAAUUACUGGGCGUAAAGCGCGUGUAGGCGGCUAUGUAAGUCGGGCGUGAAAUCCCACGGCUCAACCGUGGAAGUGCACCCGAAACUGCGUAGCUAGAGUCCUGGAGAGGAAGGUGGAAUGCUUGGUGUAGAGGUGAAAUUCGUAGAUAUCAAGCGGAACACCGGUGGCGAAGGCGGCCUUCUGGACAGUGACUGACGCUGAGACGCGAAGGCGUGGGGAGCAAACAGG